rnacentral:lncRNA from 1 species
CUGGAAAAUUGCAUUUAUUCAUUUUGAAAGACGAUGGUUAUUUAUUUAACAAGGAGACAUCAUGUUUGAGUUUUUGAAUUACUGCUACUGAUCUUAAUUAAAUUUGGUUCUUUGAAGAGCCUGUGAUUGCUGGGAAGACCCAAGUGCAUACAGCAUCAACCUCCAACACAGCAAGCAAUGUUUCUGCUUUGUCAACUGAAGUAGUUGCAUCUGAUACAACUGAGCCAGCAGCUGCAGCAGUUAGCGAGCAGCAGCCAUCUGCAGGCACUCUAUCUGCAGCUCUGAAUAAGCAGCCGCAGGCAGCAGCCACAUCGCCUUCAUCUGCAGCAGUGAGCGAGCAGCAACCUCCAGCAGCCGAGUCUUCUUCAGCAGCAGCUGUGAGGGAGCUGUCUCCACAACCAGCCCUGUGUUCUGUUAUCCCUCCGACUAUUGGAGAGAUGGUGGAAAAUGUCCUGCGUCCAGAUAAAAUCAUGUGCCUCAACUCAAAAACCUGCCUCUUACCAAAAUAUCUUGUACUUGGUCAGAAGCUGUUGUUCGUAACCAACCUGCCACGGUAUUAUGAUGGCUGCUACACAGAAGGAGAUAUUGCCACGCUGUUCAUCCCAUUUGGAUAUAUUCCUAAUGAGGACAGCAUGUAUAUUAUUCCUCAGGCGCGCAUGGCUUUUGUCCUGAUGAAAUCAGCAGUCGAUGUGCAAAACAUGCUGAAAACCUGCAAAAGGAGUCGCAUCACAUUCAAAGAGUCUAAACUUCAGUUGCGUGUAGUGGCUAGUGGCAUUACAAUGACACCGCUUGGGUUUUAUAAAUCACUGAUGAAACGGAUGAAGUCUGUGGUACUUGAUGAUGGAGAGAGAACAAUUUUCAUAAAGGACAUUUCACCAAGUGAGGCCCAGGACCUCAGGGAAGCUUUGAAUAAAAUUGGUUUUAUCAGAAACUACCUGCCUCUCCUCAACAAGGUGUUUAUCGAGUUUGAGUCAGUUCGUGAUGCGGAUAGGCUUGGAGUUUGGUACAGCCUCCUAAAACAGCCCCCUGGUCACAAAGUCUACAGGCUAAAAACACCACACAGCAAGUCUACAUCACUGCCGCCCAGACUUGCUGCAAAUGCUAUGCCGGAAAGCAAGGAUGUUGUAGCUGGAGCAGCUGUCCCAACAACAACAUUUGGUGUUCCACCGGGCAGCAUUUCACCAUUCUGGGUCAUGAUGACAACUACUCCCUUUGUGUUCCCUACCAUGUCUCCUUGGUUCAUCAUCCCAGAUUACCUGACAGUCAAAGAAAAGGAAGACAUUGUGAAGGCCAAGCGCCAAGGUAGCGUGGUCCCCACAAUCAUGUUGACGGGUUUGCCAGAAGGAAACUACAAGCACGAGGACAUCGCUAAGCUAGUGUGGCCUUAUUUUCCCAGACAGAAUAUUCACUCCCUAUACUACAACGUGAUAGUCCUAACUCUGCAAAGGAGGGCCUUUGUGUAUUUUAGUGACUGGACUGCAUGCUGUGAUUUCGUCCAAGAUCACAUCAUAAAUCCAGUUUCUGUCAAAGGUGUUACUCUCAACAUCCACUUCAUCUUACAAGAUAUGUAUGCUGAAUCAAAUGAGGUAUGGGCACUGGAAUCACUUUCAGCUGUUGGUAAACAUAACUAUGGUUAUAUCUGUUUCUUUAUUUGGUUUGUCCUUGCUUCACCCAAAAAUUUUUACAGUCCCCUCCCUUAAAAGCUGUCCCAAAACUAUUAUUAUUAUUUUGCUCUAAGAAGCAAGGAGGUAUUGCAUUACAGUAUUCAGCCCUACAGAAUUUUAACUGACAGUUUAUCCAGCUUUGCUAAUGUCCUCUGAAGCAAAACAAUAAAAACAAGGUGUAGUGUUUGUUGUCAUACUCCACAGACAAGCACAGAAAUACAAACACAUUUUGAAGAUUUGGAGAAAAAAGUUGGACUGAAAUGCAUCUUGAGAGAGACAAAUAUGUUCUUUUUAUAUGUGUCCUGGUAACAUGUGAC